rnacentral:lncRNA from 10 species
CCGGGCGUGGUGGCGGGCGCCUGUAGUCCCAGCUACUCGGGAGGCUGGGGCAGGAGAAUGGCGUGAACCCGGGAGGCGGAGCUUGCAGUGAGCCGAGACCGCGCCACUGCACUCCAGCCUGGGCGACAGAGCGAGACUCCGUCUCAAAAAAACAAAAACAAAACAAAUCAACAACUCAAAGCAACAUAAAAGCAUAGAAAUUCUAAUGGUUUUAUUUUGGACAUUUAUAUUUUUGUCAUUAUUUCCAAACUGUUAUAGCUCAACCAAAAGUAGGCACCAAGGCAAUGUGCCAAAUUUUUCCUUCUUUCACUUUGUAACAUAAAUUGUAUCGUAGCACUAUGACAAAAAUAAAUUCAAGUAUUAUGAUAAUUUAUCUACUUGAAAACAUAAUGUGGUCUAAAUUUAUCAUUUAAUGAUACAUAUAGAGCUAAAAAGGUAAAUUUGGAUUGAACCAUUUCUGCGUAAGGCUGGGAAAAUAAAUCUGAAUAAAAUUUGAUAACCAGGAAUGUUCAUCAAAUAAACAAGACAUUCUUAGGGUUUUAACAUAGCUACAUAUAUAUACUUUGAUAGAGAAUUUUUUAAGUUAUCCAUCAAACAGGACAAUAUAUUUUCAUCAAAAAUAAUGCACAAGAAAAAAAGAUGAUAAAAAUAAAAAUGCAUUUUAGGUUCAGUCUAAGCAUAAAGAAAUUUUUUUUUUUUUUUUGAGACAGGGCCUUACUGUAUCACCCAGGCUGGAGUGCAGUGGCACAAUUAUGGCUCACUGCAGACUCAGACGAUCCUCCCACCUCAGCCUCCUGAGUAGCUGGCGUGUACCAUCACACCUGGCUAAUUUUUAUAUUUUUUGUAGAGAUGAGGUUUUGCCAUGUUGCCCAGGCUGAAUAAGUUAUUAAAAUCAUGGUAGUGGUUUCACUUAUGGAGCACAAUAUGCCAGGUACUUUGCUUUCUUUGUAUUAACUCUUAUUCCUCACAACAAUUCUGAAGUAUUACUGUAACUACCAACAUGUUAUAGAUGAGGAAACAAAGAGAAGUUAAGCAACUUGCUCCAGUGACGCAGCUGGUAAGCAGCAGAGCUGGGAUUAAAACCCAGGCAUUCUGAUUCCACCACCUACACACUUAGCCAUUCCGCCCCACUGAGAAUGAAAAUGUCAAAAAAUACUAGGCCAGUAAGUGUUAGCAAGGCAAGAAAUUUCCACACCAAAGGUGAGUAUGUUGUUUGGAAAGAUUGGGAUGGAAAUGAGUAAAGUAUGUUUCUUUUUAAAAGUCUUUUAGUAAGCUUUAAAGCUCUAUAUGUAAGAAGCAGAUGAAAAUACCAAGUGAAUUUUUAGAUUUGAUGUUAUGUAAGGUUUUGUUUUGUUAAUUAAAAUUUGG